rnacentral:rRNA from 1 species
GAUGAACGCUGGCGGCGUGCCUAAUACAUGCAAGUCGAGCGAACAGACGAGGAGCUUGCUCCUCUGACGUUAGCGGCGGACGGGGGAGUAACACGUGGAUAACCUACCUAUAAGACUGGGAUAACUUCGGGAAACCGGAGCUAAUACCGGGUAAUAUAUUGAACCGCAUGGUUCAAUAGUGAAAGACGGUGUUGCUGUCACUUAUAGAUGGAUCCGCGCCGCAUUAGCUAGUUGGUAAGGUAACGGCUUACCAAGGCAACGACGCGUAGCCGACCUGAGAGGGUGCGCGGCCACACUGGAACGGAGACACGGACCAGACUCCUACGGGAGGCAGCCGUAGGGAAUCUUCAGCAAUGGGAGAAAGCCUGACGGAGCAACGCCGCGUGAGUGAUGAAGGUCUUCGGAUCGUAAAACUUUGUUAUUCGGGAAGAACAAAUGUGUAAGUAACUAUGCACGUCUUGACGGUACCUAAUCAGAAAGCCACGGCUAACUACGUG